ACUAAAGCCCCGAUGCCGAGACGCACUACGCAUCGCCUCUCGAGUUUUCGACAUGUAUGGUGAGCAUUGCGCAGCACCGUACCAUUAGUAACAUGAGAAGAAGAGAACACCAGAUGAAAGUAAUAGCAGCAGCUCUGGAAAAAGGGGACAGUGACAGAGAAGGAAGUAAGCCGAAGCAUAAAAUGAAGAAGAGGCCCACGUAAUCAUUCAUUUGUGUAUGUUUCUGUGUGCAGACGUGCACUUUAUUGUUCACAGAUAUUCACGAUGACAUCCAUGAUGAAACCAAGAGCCACGAGCUCGUAUGAUCUUGGAAUUCCCAAUGACACCACUACUUUGAAUUGGGUAGU